rnacentral:rRNA from 1 species
CUGGCUCAGGAUGAACGCUGGCGGCGUGCCUAAUACAUGCAAGUCGAACGCUUUGUCUUUAACUGAUAUGACGAGCUUGCUCUGAUUUGAUUUUAUCUGACAAAGAGUGGCGAACGGGUGAGUAACACGUGGGUAACCUACCUCUUAGCAGGGGAUAACAUUUGGAAACAAGUGCUAAUACCGUAUAAUACCAACAACCGCAUGGUUGUUGGUUGAAAGAUGGUUCUGCUAUCACUAAGAGAUGGACCCGCGGUGCAUUAGCUAGUUGGUAAGGUAACGGCUUACCAAGGCAAUGAUGCAUAGCCGAGUUGAGAGACUGAUCGGCCACAAUGGGACUGAGACACGGCCCAUACUCCUACGGGAGGCAGCAGUAGGGAAUCUUCCACAAUGGGCGCAAGCCUGAUGGAGCAACGCCGCGUGUGUGAUGAAGGGUUUCGGCUCGUAAAACACUGUUAUAAGAGAAGAACGGCACUGAGAGUAACUGUUCAGUGUGUGACGGUAUCUUACCAGAAAGGAACGGCUAAAUACGUGCCAGCAGCCGCGGUAAUACGUAUGUUCCAAGCGUUAUCCGGAUUUAUUGGGCGUAAAGCGAGCGCAGACGGUUAUUUAAGUCUGAAGUGAAAGCCCUCAGCUCAACUGAGGAAUGGCUUUGGAAACUGGAUGACUUGAGUGCAGUAGAGGAAAGUGGAACUCCAUGUGUAGCGGUGAAAUGCGUAGAUAUAUGGAAGAACACCAGUGGCGAAGGCGGCUUUCUGGACUGUAACUGACGUUGAGGCUCGAAAGUGUGGGUAGCAAACAGGAUUAGAUACCCUGGUAGUCCACACCGUAAACGAUGAGUGCUAGAUGUUCGAGGGUUUCCGCCCUUGAGUGUCGCAGCUAACGCAUUAAGCACUCC